AUCUUUUUAGUACAAAUUUAAUACAAGUGACUUCCAAUUACUUAAUCUUGGUUAAAAUCCAAGAAAAGAUA
rnacentral:tRNA from 1 species